rnacentral:rRNA from 1 species
UUAGAAGCAGCCAUCAUUUAAAGAAAGCGUAAUAGCUCACUGGUCGAGUCGGCCUGCGCGGAAGAUGUAACGGGGCUAAACCAUGCACCGAAGCUGCGGCAGCGACGCUUAUGCGUUGUUGGGUAGGGGAGCGUUCUGUAAGCCGUUGAAGGUGUGCUGUGAGGCAUGCUGGAGGUAUCAGAAGUGCGAAUGCUGACAUAAGUAACGAUAAAGCGGGUGAAAAGCCCGCUCGCCGGAAGACCAAGGGUUCCUGUCCAACGUUAAUCGGGGCAGGGUG